CCUACGGGUGGCAGCAGUCGAGAAUCAUUCACAAUGGGGGAAACCCUGAUGGUGCGACGCCGCGUGGGGGAAUGAAGGUCUUCGGAUUGUAAACCCCUGUUAUGUGGGAGCAAAUUAAAAAGAUAGUACCACAAGAGGAAGAGACGGCUAACUCGGUGCCAGCAGCCGCGGUAAUACAGAGGUCUCAAGCGUUGUUCGGAAUCACUGGGCGUAAAGCGUGCGUAGGCUGUUUCGUAAGUCGUGUGUGAAAGGCGCGGGCUCAACCCGCGGACGGCACAUGAUACUGCGAGACUAGAGUAAUGGAGAGGGAACCGGAAUUCUCGGUGUAGCAGUGAAAUGCUUAGAUAUCGAGAAGAACCCUCGUGGCGAAGGCGGGUUCCUGGACAUUAACUGACGCUGAGGCACGAAGGCCAGGGUAGCGAAAAGGAUUAGAUACCCGGGUAGUC
rnacentral:rRNA from 1 species